GCAGGGGAGGGGCAGAGGGAGAGGGAGACACAGAAUCUGAAGCAGGCUCCAGGCCACCAGCAUGGGAGCCCUGCGUGGGGCUCAAACUCACAAACGAUGAGAUCAUGACUGAGCCAGUCAGAUGCUUAACCCACUGGGCCACCUGGGCACCCCUCACACUCUACAUUCUUUUUUUUUUUUUUUUAAUGUUUAUUUUUGACAGACAGAGCAUGAGCAGGGGAGGGGCAGAGAGAGAGAGAGGGAGACACAGAAUCAGAAGCAGGCUCCAGGCUCUGAGCUGUCAGCACAGAGCCUGAAGCGGGGCUCGAGCUCACAGACUGCAAGAUCGUGACUUGAGCCAAAGUUGGACGCUCAAUCAACUGAGCCACUCAGGCGCCCCACCCUGUACAUUCUUAAUGAACAUUUAGGUUUAUCUAUUUGAUGUAAUUUCAUUUACAUAGUGGGAGAAAUUGCUUCAGCUGCAGCUAUAAACCUUUUAUAACAAUGGCAAAUUUAAAAUUCUUACUAUGUGCUUUUCACUUUACUGUGGGCUUAUCCAAAAGUGAAUCGUAUUCUUUUCACUUUUUUUAAUGGUAGAAGAACCCUGAGAGAGAUAGCUACUGUAAGUCUGACAGUUUUAUCAUAGAAAGCUGAAGCAAUUUGCUCAAGGUCACAAGACUUUUAAGAGGUGGAGUUAUUUAGCUUUAGUUUUAGUUACUCUGUCCCUAAUACAGUGUUCUUCUCAUGUAGCUAUUUGAAUCUCAUAUUGCCUUUUAAUUAAUCAUUAGAUCAAUAAACAUUUGUUGGUUUCACAACCGUUAUAUCAAAAGAGAUCGUCAUACUUUAAAAAUUCUGAUGAGGUCAGUGUCUUCUCAGUUUCCUCCUUGGAACAAUGCUAAAUCAUAUGUGGCUGUUUAAAUAUUAAAACCCUAUGGAAUCACAGAGCACUCAAAGCUCAAAUUAAUGCUGGGAAUUGUAAUUACAUACAUUUCUUGUGAAAAGACUUGAUGGUUGGUUUGAAUUACAACUGUGUGGCUUUGGGAAAAUUACUUAAUAUCUUUAGGCUCUGGUUUCCUUAAAUGUAAAGUGGGGAUAAUACCACUUCUCUGGGAGGUCGCCAAGAUUAAAGUAGACAAUACAUUUGUCAAAGUCCCUAGCACAGUGCCUGACACAUAAUAGGCACUCAGUAAAUGUUAGUUUCUCCUUGACUAAUUUCUUUCAUUGGCUGUGUGGGAAAAUUAUGCGAACAAACUGUACAAGUCAAUCACUUCCAAGGGCUUUUUGAAAAUAAUGAUAGUCUUAAGAGAGCACUGUCAUUAUUGUUGGUUGGGGUCAGUUUUUUCCCUGCAAGAACAUAAAGUUAAAAUUUACUGGAGAGUAUUUAAUACACAACAAUUUGCUAUGAAUCUGACUUUUCUUCAGGAACACACUUAAUGAUGAAAUCAAAUCAAGCAGAAGUUUUUUUGCAUGCGAUUCAAGAACGCUCUCUAUCCAGUCUGCACUGAAAUUGCAUUACCUGGAGUUAAGGAGGAAGUGUACUCAGUUGAGCUUGGAAGCAAUGUUACCAGAAAAGGAUUAACAAAUCAUAAGACAAAAUCCUUGGAACUUUAUUGGUAAUAGCCAAAAGAAAGAAAGAAAGAAAAAGGAAGGAAGGAAGGAAGGAAGGAAGAAACAACCCAACUGUCCAUCAAUAGGUGUCUUGCAGCUCAGCCUCUUUGGAGUGUUUAUCUAGACCUCUGCUCAAGAUGGCUGUCUACUGAGUACUUGAAGAAGGUGACCCUGUUCCUGCUAAUCCUUCUCACCAUGAGUUCCAGGCCAUUCCAGAUGACUAUUCUAGCUGUCUCUGCCUUUCUACCACCCGAUGCAGGCUACAUCACCGCAGUCCUGCAUGACAAGGAGAGCAUCUAACGACAUCUACCUUCACUACCCCUGUCUGCCGACGUGUUCUCCAAUGGAUCCACGGUCAGACUGCUAUCCUUGAAAUUCAGCACCGGCCCCCUCCCAGUUCUGGAGACCAGGUGCCCAUUUAUGUUAAUGGGAGAAAGAAAAGGGGUCUUCUCCCCUCCUGAGAACGAUCUUCUUCCACCCACUCCGCCCCUGUCGCGCCUCCCACAACCCACUUGUAGACAGCAGUGGGUUUCUGGAAACAGUGCUGCCUCUUCUCAGGUGAUCACUACUAGAGUUAUUCCAAUGGCAGGAAUUUCAAGCCGGGUAAGAGGAGCCAUGCCAGGCUGCCAGAUGGUGGGGGAGAUAAAUGUGGGCGAGCAAGCUUCAGACUAAAGCAAGGGAGAGGGGAUCGGGUGUUGUAAUCACAGCCAAGAAAAGGAGUCAGGUGACCCUCAUUACAUAGUAUAGAGCCCUGUUAUAAUAUCCCUUAUUACUACUCGAACUUGGAUUUAACCUGGGACAAACCCUUUUCUUCUCCUGCUUCUGCCUUCCCACCCUAGGUUAUAUCUCUUUCCCUGUGAAGUCAUCACUCUUAAUAAUAAUACUAAGAAAUAACUGUUACUAAUGGCUUUAGGUCAUUUCAUCUAAGAUGUCACAGCCAGAACAUUUUGCCCAGUUUUUCAGAUGAGCAAAGGCAUUCCCAAGGUCACAUGCAGCUGAGAACAGACAGAUCUGGGAUUCAAACUCAGGUCUUUCUGGCUCAGAAACUCUUGUCCUGUUCUCCUGAGGAUGACGUAGGGGGGAUUUGCUCUAAACCCUACAUCUUUUUUUUUUUUUUUAAUUUUUCUUUUUUUUUACAUUUAUUUAUUUUUGAGAAACACAGUGAGACAAAGCGUGAGCGGGGGAGGGGCAGAGAGAGGAGGAGAGACAGAAUCUGAAGCAGGCUCCAGGCUAAGCUGUCGGCACAGAGCCUGAUGCGGAGCUGGAACCCACGAACUGUGAGAUCAUGACCUGAGCCGAAGUAGGACGCUCAACCGACUGAGCCACCCAAGGCGCCCAUAAACCCUACGUCUUUUAAUGAAAAACAUAAAUGCAACACGUCUUAGGGACAGUGAAGGCGGAGCAUUAGAAUCCCAAGCAGGCCCUCCAGAGUGGACACUGGAAAAGGGGUGGGCAACAGGGUGGGGACUCAGUGGGACGUGUCUGCUUCCUCCCCAUGUUUUGGUGACGACAGAAACUGUCGCCAAAACCCGUCCGGGAACAGUGGUUUAGACAUUCUCCCCCUACUGGACCCUGCCGCUCCCCAACACCAGUUUUCUUCGCACACUCCGCAACGAUAGACAGAAGAAUUUAAUACAUUUAAUGCUUUUCCUUCCAUUUACGCUAUCAUAAAUUACAAAGUAGUAUUCACUUCACAAAAUAAAACCAUUUUCAGAUAAUCUUUUGACAGUAUCCAGAAGUACAGAAGCUACAACAAACAAAUCUGUACAGUUGGGAGGAACAAUAGAGCAGGGACCCAGCAGAACCAUUCUGACCCCGCCGUGUGCCAACAGAGCCCAUGCAGGACAACAGCUGCACCGCCCUCCUCCUUCCGGCUCACUUCUCACACAGUAAUUCUCUUCCGGUCACUCCAAAACCAGACUACCGACAAAACAGAUGUACGUAGGAGGCACGGCAAAGACCCAAGACAAGGGCCUUGGUCACUCUCACCCCUGCUCUUCUCACGUGGACGAGGCGAGUGUCUAUGAGACACAGGAGCCGACUUGACAACCCGCUGCGGUCCAGGAAAU